rnacentral:lncRNA from 1 species
CCAUGUUAGUUGCUCCGGUAACAAAUGUGGUAUCAUGUAGUUCAAACCCAACAAUCAAGUUGAGCGAGGGGUGCUACAACAUCUUUCAUGCAUUGGAUGAGGAUAAUCUUCUUCACAAAAAUCAACCACGUCACACUAAUUGACAAGGGGACCUCUCAUAUAAAUACCGUAAUCAAUGAUGAUGAAGGGAUCAAUUUUCAAUACCGUAAAGUCAUUCUAAGCAAUUUCCCUCUCAGCCUGUCCUCUUGUCCUGGUUCCAACUCUCGGCCUCCUUAGGUGAAUCGGCCUCCAUAACAUCGCCCUUAUCUCCUCUUUGACCCACCUUGUCCUCCUCCCUUAUUGUACACUAUAUUAACAAUAUCAAAAAUUAAAAAUUUAAUAUAAAUAUCAUUUAACUAACUAUUAAUCUAUGUGAGGUUUAACAUACAAAAUCUUUGAUAAAAGUUAAUCCAAAAUUUUCACUGCCUAAACAAAUGUUUUUCAGUAUUGGUUCAUCAUCUUCCAAUCAUACUUAGUUUUAAGGUUUAUUAGUAAAAAAGGUGAAAAUUUUUAAAAAAAAAUUUAAUUAAGCAGAAAAAAUAUAGAAAAGUAUAAUAUUAUUUAAAAAAUUAAGAAUUAUAAGAAAUUAUAAAGAUAUAUUGUUUUUAUUAAAAAUUAAAAAUUAUUAUAAACCCUACUUAGAAUGAACCUGGACAACUAGUUGUCUAGGUUCAAAUGCAUCUAGACAACAGCUUGUCCAAAUUCAUUCUAGGCGUAGUUUUUAAUAAUUUUAAGUUGCAAUUAUAUCAAUCGUUUUGAUUGAAAUAAAUCAUUAUAAACACUAAAUUUAAUAAUUAAUUCAAUUUAAAUUCACAAAUCGAAAUAAAAUGAAAUUUGAACUUAAAAGAUCGCUCAACCUUGUCUAACACAAGGUCGCAUUAUUGGUUUUUAUAGGAUUGAUAACAGAAUUGUUUAGAAAGGUUUGCCAUUACUUGGUUGUAAAGUUUGUGAUUGAUUUGGCCGUUAUCUUAAAAUGUCAUUAAUGAGAUGAUUGAGAAAACAAAGCUAAGUUUUGCAUUGUCAAAUGUUAAAAUAGAUGUAAAUAAUGGUAAUAUAGAACGAUCGUAAAGUAAUAAGAAAAGAAAAAUAAAAUACAGAUUUUAUGUGAAAACCCUCUCGGGAAAAAAUCAGGAGAAGAAAUUCACUAAUGUUGAAAACUGGAUGAUAUAAGAGGAGUUUCGACUACAUCUAUUUAAAGGUUAAAAAGUCUUAUUCUAAUCAAUAUCAUAUAGAAACAGUAUAGUUCUAUACAGAUUCUACUUGUGUUGCAUCCCCUUAUUUUGUCUUUUUAUUUUCUUUAACAAGGAUUCAGUUCACACGACUCUAAUAUUAAAAUUUUGAUAUCAAUUGUUUGAAGCGUGAAACCGAGCCGAAAACACUAAAAUGAGUCAAAAUGAAUAGUGAAGUAAGCAUAUAUGGUCGAAAACGACAGAUGGGAUGGGCCCCCUGUUAGGCUGUUGGAUCCCAAACCAUAUAUUUUUGAAAUUUCAGUCGUUUUCCAGGCAGUGUUUCAAAGGAGUAGGAGUGGAAGAAGUGGAGAUACCGGCUGACAAUGAACACGUGAUACGAAUUUUUUGAAGUGCACAAUGUUCCGUCCUUUCUAUUGGAAAAGCAUUAAAAAAAACAAGGUAUCUUGAAGAUUCUAAAGAGCUUUGUGUGUGGCAAAAGAUGUGACGAAUACCAAAUCCAUCUUACCUACCUUGUUCGCCCAUCACUCACCAUGGAACACAGCACACGCCUCUUUUUAACAUUGGCUCCUCUUCGAGAAAAGUUUUCCGAAAUGCGAUCUGCAUAGUAACCCAUUUUAACCUUUCCAAGCAUGAAGAAAACUGCUUGAAUGUCUCUAUUAUCUUUCCAUGCUUUGGUUUGUUGAUUGUAGAGUGGGGAUGGUUUUCAUGAAGAAAAGGACUAGUACUCCAAAACCUAUUCGUAUGCACCAUUAUUAAAUAAAUCUUACUCAGCAUGGGAAGCAUGAUGCUUGUAUAAGCUAUUUUGAGGUAUUAAAUCCAAGGAUGGCACAUUGAUAUUCAG